UACUUAAACAUUCUCACAUGGGUGCGUGC
rnacentral:piRNA from 1 species